rnacentral:lncRNA from 1 species
AAUAAUAGAAAAAUCAUUGACAAUUUUACCAAUAUAUUACUGAUAAUAAAAAUUUCAGUAGUAAAAUGACUUUUGAUAAAUUUUAUCCAAUGUUCACUAAAUCUAUUAAUAAAUUAGUAAAUAUAUUUUGUUAAUUACCAAUUGAUUUUGACCAUCACUAAAUAUCACGAUUGAAUAUUUUUCAUCUUUAUCUUCUUUUUUUUCUUUCUCUUUUCCUCGUUUUUUUUUCUCCCCUCCUCUUCUGGUCUCCAAUUAUCAUAAUCUAGUAGCGACACAUUAUCGUCUCUUCUACGUCACUGCCAUUGAUGCAUCUUCGUCACUAUUGUGUCUCUUCCUCUUUCUCCUCCUUUUUCUUCU